GAGGGUAUAUCUCAGUGGUGGAGUGUCUGCUUAGCAUGCACAAGGUCCCGGGUUCAAUCCCUGGUACCUCCA
rfam:Camelus ferus unplaced genomic scaffold scaffold999, whole genome shotgun sequence.